GCAUAUCAAUAAGCGGAGGAAAAGAAACCAACAGGGAUUGCCUCAGUAACGGCGAGUGAAGCGGCAACAGCUCAAAUUUGAAAUCUGGCCCCAGGCCCGAGUUGUAAUUUGCAGAGGAUGUUUCUGGCGAGGUGCCUUCCGAGUUCCCUGGAACGGGACGCCAUAGAGGGUGAGAGCCCCGUACGGUUGGUCGCUAAGCCUCUGUGAAACUCCUUCGACGAGUCGAGUAGUUUGGGAAUGCUGCUCUAAAUGGGAGGUGUACGCCUUCUCAAGCUAAAUACCGGCUAGAGACCGAUAGCGCACAAGUAGAGUGAUCGAAAGAUGAAAAGCACUUUGAAAAGAGGGUUAAAUAGUACGUGAAAUUGUUGAAAGGGAAGCGCUCUUGACCAGACUUGCGCCGGUUGAUCAUCCACCGUUCUCGGUGGUGCACUCUGCCGGCUCAGGCCAGCAUCAGUUCGGCCCGGGGGAUAAAGGCUUCGGGAAUGUGGCUCUCUCCGGGGAGUGUUAUAGCCCGUUGCGUAAUACCCUGGGCCGGACUGAGGUUCGCGCAUCUGCAUGGAUGCUGGCGUAAUGGUCAUCAGUGACCCGUCUUGAAACACGGACC
rnacentral:rRNA from 1 species